ACCUGAAACUGGUUGCCUACAAACAGAUGGAGCCUGAAAGGGUGACAUCGUACCUUUUGUAUAAUGGGUCAGCGACUUAGUGUAUCGAGCAAGCUUAAGCCGGUAGGUGUAGGCGCAGCGAAAGCGAGUCUGAACAGGGCGUUCAGUUCGAUGCAUUAGACCCGAAACCGAGUGAUCUAGCCAUGAGCAGGUUGAAGGUGAGGUAACACUCACUGGAGGACCGAACCCAUAACUGUUGCAAUAGUUCGGGAUGACUUGUGGCUAGGGGUGAAAGGCCAAUCAAACUCGGAAAUAGCUGGUUCUCCGCGAAAUCUAUUUAGGUAGAGCGUCGACCGAAUACCCUGGGGGGUAAAGCACUGCAUGGGCUAGGGGUCCUCACCGGAUUACCAAACCUAAGCAAACUCUGAAUACCCAGGAGUACUAGUCGGCAGACACACGGCGGGUGCUAACGUC
rnacentral:rRNA from 1 species